rnacentral:rRNA from 1 species
AUGGACACCGGCAGUGCGGCGCCCCUCCUCCACGCGCACGGUGGCCUGCAGGCGGGCAGGGACCCUGCAGCGGCCCAUGACCACGUGGGGCAGUGCUCGCCGGAGGCCUCCGGCGGGGCGACAUUCCUGCGAACCUGCUUCAAUGGCCUCAACGCCCUCUCCGGUGCCGGGCUGCUGUCUAUCCCGUACGCGCUGGCGGAGGGCGGGUGGCUGAGCCUGGUUCUGCUUCUCGUCGUCGCCAUGGUCUGCUGCUACACUGGCCAGCUCCUGCAGACGUGCAUGGGAGCGUCAGCGGACGUGCGCGGCUACCCAGACAUCGGUGCGCUCGCGUUUGGGGUCAAAGGCCGGUUCGCCGUGUCGGCGUUCAUGUACGCGGAGCUCUACCUUGUUCCCAUCGGGUUCUUGAUAAUGGAGGGGGACAACCUGGACAAGCUAUUCCCAGGCACCAGCCUCAGCCUCGGCGCCGGGCUCCUGUUCUCGGGCAAGCACUUGUUCAUCGUGCUCGCAUCCAUCAUGAUCUUGCCCACGACGUGGCUGAGGAACCUGGGCGUGCUCGCCUACGUGUCAGCCAGCGGCGUGCUCGCAUCGGUUGUACUGGUUUUCUGCGUGCUAUGGGCCGCGGUGGUCGACGGCGUCGGGUUUCAGGGGAAAGGGACCAUGCUGAAUGUCAGUGGCCUGCCUACUGCUCUGGGUCUCUACACUUUCUGCUACUGCGGCCAUGCCAUAUUCCCAACAUUGUGCAAUUCCAUGAAGAAAAAGGACAAGUUCUCUAAUGUACUAGUCGUAUGCUUCGUCGCAUGUACCCUCAACUAUGGAUCAAUGGCCAUACUCGGCUACCUCAUGUACGGCGACGACGUUGAAUCUCAGGUGACCCUGAACCUCCCAGAAGGCAAGCUCAGUUCGAAGCUAGCAAUCUACACGGCGCUAAUCAACCCAUUCUCAAAGUACGCUCUGAUGGUGACUCCUGUCGCGACAGCGAUCGAAGAGAAGCUGCUUACCGGCAAUAAGAGGUUCGUCAGCAUGCUGAUCAGAACCUUCAUUGUCAUCAGCACGGUCAUCAUAGCCCUCACAGUCCCCUUCUUCGGCCACCUCAUGGCGCUCGUCGGCUCGCUGCUCAGCGUCGUCGCUUCGAUGCUGCUCCCAUGCAUCUGCUACCUCAAAAUCUUUGGCACGGCAAGGUGCAGCAGGCCUGAGGUUGCGGUGAUCGUCAUGAUUAUCAUUCUUGGUUCCUUGGUUGCUGCAUGUGGGACAUACUCUUCCUUGCAGAAGAUUAUUCAUGAGUUCUGA